UACGGAGGGUGCGAGCGUUGUCCGGAAUCACUGGGCGUAAAGGGCGCGUAGGCGGCAUGCCAAGCGUGUGGUGAAAGCCCGGGGCUCAACCCCGGGUCGGCCGUGCGGACUGGCGUGCUCGAGCACUGUAGGGGCGGGUGGAAUUCCGGGUGUAGCGGUGGAAUGCGUAGAGAUCCGGAAGAACACCAGUGGCGAAGGCGGCCCGCUGGGCAGUGGCUGACGCUGAGGCGCGACAGCGUGGGGAGCAAACAGG
rnacentral:rRNA from 1 species